rnacentral:misc_RNA from 1 species
CGCAGUUACGCUUUACUUUCUCUCUCUAAAAUCUAAGGAGCCAAACUCUCUCUCCAAGAAUGGCACCAAAGGCGGAGAAGAAGCCGGCUGAGAAGAAGCCAGCGGAAGAGAAGAAGACAGUGGCAGAGAAAGCUCCGGCGGAGAAGAAGCCGAAGGCCGGAAAGAAGCUACCAAAAGAUGGUGGCGCGGCGGCUGGAGACAAGAAAAAGAAGCGCGUGAAGAAGAGCACGGAGACAUACAAGAUCUACAUCUUUAAGGUCUUGAAGCAGGUCCACCCAGACAUCGGGAUCUCGAGCAAGGCAAUGGGUAUCAUGAACUCCUUUAUAAACGAUAUUUUCGAGAAGCUUGCACAGGAAGCGUCGAGGCUAGCGAGGUACAACAAGAAACCAACAAUUACUUCGAGGGAGAUCCAGACCGCUGUGAGAUUGGUGUUGCCUGGAGAGUUGGCUAAGCAUGCUGUGUCUGAGGGGACUAAGGCAGUGACCAAGUUCACUAGCUCUUGAAGCAGUGCAGGACU